rnacentral:rRNA from 1 species
AGCGAACGCUGGCGGCAGGCCUAACACAUGCAAGUCGAGCGCUCAUCUUCGGAUGGGAGCGGCGCACGGGUGAGUAACACGUGGGAACCUACCUUGAAGUAUGGAAUAACUGAGGGAAACUUCAGCUAAUACCGUAUACGCCCUACGGGGGAAAGAUUUAUCGCUUCAAGACGGGCCCGCGUUGGAUUAGCUGGUUGGUGAGGUAAUGGCUCACCAAGGCGACGAUCCAUAGCUGAUUUGAGGGAAUAAUCAGCCACACUGGGACUGAGACACGGCCCAGACUCCUACGGGAGGCAGCAGUGGGGAAUAUUGGACAAUGGGCGCAAGCCUGAUCCAGCCAUGCCGCGUGAGUGAUGAAGGCCUUCGGGUUGUAAAGCUCUUUCAGAUGGGACGAUGAUGACGGUACCAUCAGAAGAAGCCCCGGCUAACUUCGUGCCAGCAGCCGCGGUAAUACGAAGGGGGCUAGCGUUGUUCGGAAUUACUGGGCGUAAAGCGCGCGUAGGCGGCUUUGUCAGUCAGGGGUGAAAUCCCGGGGCUUAACCUCGGAACUGCCUUUGAUACUGCAAGGCUUGAGUCUGUGAGAGGAUGGUGGAAUACCCAGUGUAGAGGUGAAAUUCGU